GGCGUUAUACUUUAAUUAAAAAGGUUUAUUUUGCGUGUAAAAUAUGAGGCUUUCUCUAAUGCCA
rnacentral:tRNA from 1 species